AUUGAACGCUGGCGGCAGGCCUAACACAUGCAAGUCGAACGAGCGGCGGACGGGUGAGUAAUGCAUGGGAAUCUAGCUUAUGGAGGGGGAUAACUACGGGACACUGUAGCUAAUACCGCGUACCAUAGGCUGAGCCCACGUGGGAUUAGGUAGUUGGUGGGGUAAAGGCUCACACAGCCGACGAACUCUAGCGGGUCUGAGAGGAUGACCAGCCACACGGUUACUGAGACACGGCCCAGACUCCUACGGGAGGCAGCAGUGGGUAAUAUUGCGCAAUGGGGGCAACCUGACGCAGCCAUGCCGCGUGUGUGAAGAAGGCCUUCGGGUUUUAAAGUUCUUUCGGUAGCGAGGCGUGAACAACAGAAGAAGCACCGGCUAACUCGGGGCCAGCAGCCGCGGUAAUAC
rnacentral:rRNA from 1 species